UUGAUUGGUGCUUGCAUCAUGAUUUACAUUUGAGUGAGUGGCGAACUGGUGAGUAACACGUGGGAAACCUGCCCAGAAGCGGGGGAUAACACCUGGAAACAGAUGCUAAUACCGCAUAACAACUUGGACCGCAUGGUCCGAGUUUGAAAGAUGGCUUCGGCUAUCACUUUUGGAUGGUCCCGCGGCGUAUUAGCUAGAUGGUGGGGUAACGGCUCACCAUGGCAAUGAUACGUAGCCGACCUGAGAGGGUAAUCGGCCACAUUGGGACUGAGACACGGCCCAAACUCCUACGGGAGGCAGCAGUAGGGAAUCUUCCACAAUGGACGAAAGUCUGAUGGAGCAACGCCGCGUGAGUGAAGAAGGGUUUCGGCUCGUAAAACUCUGUUGUUAAAGAAGAACAUAUCUGAGAGUAACUGUUCAGGUAUUGACGGUAUUUAACCAGAAAGCCACGGCUAACUACGUGCCAGCAGCCGCGGUAAUACGUAGGUGGCAAGCGUUGUCCGGAUUUAUUGGGCGUAAAGCGAGCGCAGGCGGUUUUUUAAGUCUGAUGUGAAAGCCUUCGGCUCAACCGAAGAAGUGCAUCGGAAACUGGGAAACUUGAGUGCAGAAGAGGACAGUGGAACUCCAUGUGUAGCGGUGAAAUGCGUAGAUAUAUGGAAGAACACCAGUGGCGAAGGCGGCUGUCUGGUCUGUAACUGACGCUGAGGCUCGAAAGUAUGGGUAGCAAACAGGAUUAGAUACCCUGGUAGUCCAUACCGUAAACGAUGAAUGCUAAGUGUUGGAGGGUUUCCGCCCUUCAGUGCUGCAGCUAACGCAUUAAGCAUUCCGCCUGGGGAGUACGGCCGCAAGGCUGAAACUCAAAGGAAUUGACGGGGGCCCGCACAAGCGGUGGAGCAUGUGGUUUAAUUCGAAGCUACGCGAAGAACCUUACCAGGUCUUGACAUACUAUGCAAAUCUAAGAGAUUAGACGUUCCCUUCGGGGACAUGGAUACAGGUGGUGCAUGGUUGUCGUCAGCUCGUGUCGUGAGAUGUUGGGUUAAGUCCCGCAACGAGCGCAACCCUUAUUAUCAGUUGCCAGCAUUAAGUUGGGCACUCUGGUGAGACUGCCGGUGACAAACCGGAGGAAGGUGGGGAUGACGUCAAAUCAUCAUGCCCCUUAUGACCUGGGCUACACACGUGCUACAAUGGAUGGUACAACGAGUUGCGAACUCGCGAGAGUAAGCUAAUCUCUUAAAGCCAUUCUCAGUUCGGAUUGUAGGCUGCAACUCGCCUACAUGAAGUCGGAAUCGCUAGUAAUCGCGGAUCAGCAUGCCGCGGUGAAUACGUUCCCGGGCCUUGUACACACCGCCCGUCACACCAUGAGAGUUUGUAACACCCAAAGUCGGUGGGGUAACC
rnacentral:rRNA from 1 species